rnacentral:rRNA from 1 species
GAUGAACGCUGGCGGCGUGCCUAAUACAUGCAAGUAGAACGCUGAAGCUUGGUGCUUGCACCGAGCGGAUGAGUUGCGAACGGGUGAGUAACGCGUAUGUAACCUGCCUGGUAGCGGGGGAUAACUAUUGGAAACGAUAGCUAAUACCGCAUAACAGUAGAUAUUGCAUGAUAUCUGCUUGAAAGGUGCAAAUGCAUCACUACCAGAUGGACCUGCGUUGUAUUAGCUAGUUGGUGAGGUAACGGCUCACCAAGGCGACGAUACAUAGCCGACCUGAGAGGGUGAUCGGCCACACUGGGACUGAGACACGGCCCAGACUCCUACGGGAGGCAGCAGUAGGGAAUCUUCGGCAAUGGGGGGAACCCUGACCGAGCAACGCCGCGUGAGUGAAGAAGGGUUUCGGAUCGUAAAGCUCUGUUGUAAGAGAAGAACGAGUGUGAGAGUGGAAAGUUCACACUGUGACGGUAUCUUACCAGAAAGGGACGGCUAACUACGUG